rnacentral:lncRNA from 1 species
GUUGCUGUUAAUUUGUUAGUCUUGUGCUUUGUUAGUGUUCCCAUGCUAAAUUUUGCUAAGUUUGUGAAAUGCACUUUUGAGUUUGUAAAAGCGCGUUGAUUAUUGACCUGAGUGGUAGGCUUAGAGGAGAGGCAUGAAAUAAUGAGUACACGAGUGAACUGAAUUGGGUUCUCUGUGAAAUUGCUAUGGUGAACACGAUAUGUAAAAUUGGUUUGUACACCAGUAGCCACAAACAUUGCUGUUUUUCUUAGGGAUUUUUAAAUAAUAAAAUAAAUUUAAAAAUCUAAAUUAAAUGGAAUCAAUAUUGGCUUUGGUUAGUAAGACUUUGGCAUUGCAAGGGAGCCAGAAAAACCUGUUUCACUUAACUCAGCUCUUUGAAGAGUUGUAGAAAUUGGGGGUGGACUGGAGCAGAAACUAGAAUUGUGUUAGAUUAUGACAUCCUUGCCCUUGAGACAACAGCAUGACUCCUCCUUGUCUUUACUUAUGCUAUUCCUCUGCCUGGAAUGCCUUCCCUCCUUUCUAUCUAAAUCCUACCCACCUCCUCCACGAAGCCUUCUCUAACUACUGGAGCCCACAUUGAUGUCUCCCUGUUCAGAACACCUAUGGCAUCUAACAGCCAGCACUGCACCGUUUAGCACUGUUUGUCCUAUGGCAAUUUCACAUGCUACUGAGUAGGUACCAAUCUUGGGAAAAAGAAGCAACACAUUUGUCAUAUACCAGGAUGUGGUAAAGUCUAUGGGAAGACCUCACAUCUGAGAGCUCAUCUGCGUUGGCAUUCUGGAGAACGCCCUUUUGUUUGUAACUGGAUGUACUGUGGUAAAAGAUUUACUCGAAGUGAUGAAUUACAGAGGCACAGAAGAACACAUACAGGUGAGAAGAAAUUUGUUUGUCCAGAAUGUUCAAAACGCUUUAUGAGAAGUGACCACCUUGCCAAACAUAUUAAAACACACCAGAAUAAAAAAGGUAUUCACUCUAGCAGUACAGUGCUGGCAUCUGUGGAAGCUGCGCGAGAUGAUACUUUGAUUACUGCAGGAGGAACAACGCUUAUCCUUGCAAAUAUUCAACAAGGUUCUGUUUCAGGGAUAGGAACUGUUAAUACUUCCGCCACCAGCAAUCAAGAUAUCCUUACCAACACUGAAAUACCUUUACAGCUUGUCACAGUUUCUGGAAAUGAGACAAUGGAGUAAAUAUUACACAAAUACUUAUUCAUUGUGGUUAUUUUUAUACAGUAGUGAGAAGAAUAUUGUUCCUAAGUUCUUAGAUAUCUUUUUAUUGAUGUGCAAAAAUUUUUGGAUUGACAGUAACUUGGUUAUACAUGACACUGAAAUGCCUUACUUUGUAUGAUAUUCCAUAGUAUAUUAAAAAUGGUAAAAUUGCAUGGGUUUUGUAGGUACUUUUGGAAUCUAGAAGAAAUGAAAUUUUACCAAGUUAUAUAAAGAGAAAAUUGAAUUUAACAAUGCGAAUGGUAGUCUAACCAAAUGCAUCAAUCCUGUGUGGUUUAGUGUAAAAAUGAGAACAUGUUGGUAUUUAUCUAUUGUAAGAUAAAAAAGCUGGUGGGUGAAAGAAAUCAUGUUAUGAUAAAAAAUUUUGUAAUUUUCUUGAUGACUGGAAUUUUUAUUAUGCAUAACUGACAAAUCAAGUUUCCAAGCAAAUGUUACAUAGUGUAGGCUUUACUUAGCUUAUCAAUUUGUCAUUUUGAAGCUAAUUAUUUUAAUUAGGUUAACUAUGUACAAUAUUUUAAGCAUUACUCUUGUAAGAUUUUGAAAACUACAUUUUAACAUGGAACUCUAGGGAUAGUCACCUUUUAAAUCCUGUUGAAAAGCCAUGUUUAAGAUUUAAUUUGCCAAAAUAAUGUCUUGUUAAUAUUCUUUCAAUAACGAAGUUGGGCAAUAUAACCAAUGUUUAAAAAAGUUUAAAAUGUAUAAGUUGAGGCAUUUGGGUGGUAAGAGAAUGUUAUAGUGAAUUAUCCCUUUUCUUGACUAUUGGAGGACCAAAAAAAUAAGGUGUAUUGCGUCUUAGCAGUGAUUUUUAUCCAAUCUUGUUUCCAAAAACCAUGUCUCCCAGGGCCUUAAAAGCCAUCAUGUAAAUUACCAGUAAAGUGUAACAUAUGCAAACAUAACAAAAUCACUUCCAUAGUGACGAUACUCCAACCAUAUGGAUAUUAGUCAUAGAAGAACUAGAGGUUUUAUGAUAUUUUUUUAAGUCUUUUUUUUUUUUGUCUAGGUAGUCAGUCUGCACUUAAAUAUCAAUCAUUUUCCUUUUUUGCUUCUUCCCUUAAAAUUUAUAUGUAUCCAGUACAUUUAAUUGAGAAGCGUAUGUUUUUUAUUAUGCUGUAUUUUCUUUUUAUUUUUUAAUUAUUGUUUAUAUUUUCAAUUCAAAAAUGUACAAAAUAAAGUUACAUUGCUGGUCUUGUAAGAGCUAUACAGUUUUCCUAAAUGUAUACCUGUAACUGCAGCAGUUCACCUAUUUCAAAAAUUUGGAAUUCUGUUCAUUUGUUAUUCUUAAGACCACCUCAAAUUUAAAGGCUACCUUAUUGUACGUUUAAAGUGUAUUAUAACAGUGUGGUAGUUAAUAAAACACUAUUUUUUUUUCU